CAAUACGAAAGGUGUGUCACGUAUACGAGAAAUAAAUUUUGAGAUUGUGAAAGGAAAAAGCGAAAAGUGGAAAGAAACUGUGAUUUAAUUCAACCAAGGAUAUACUCCGGUAGUGAUUCAAAGCGAUGAAAAGUUCUAAAAAGGGUAAAUAAAACCAAAAGCGACCGUGAAGUUGUUAUCUGAUUGACAGAAUUAAAUCAAUUUCAUCGUCAUCAUGUGUUGCAAUACCACUACCAGGGACAUCAAAGAUGACCUGGACUUCAGUGCAUAUGCAGAGGAGAGUAGCACUAAAGAAAGCCAAUAAAAUCCUUUUGGAGUUGAAUUGAGACACAACCAUUCAUUUAUGGUUUAGUUAUAAAACUGCUACAGACUAUAAACU